rnacentral:rRNA from 1 species
GACGAACGCUGGCGGCGUGCUUAACACAUGCAAGUCGAACGAUGAACCCGGAGCUUGCUCCGGCGGAUUAGUGGCGAACGGGUGAGUAACACGUGAGUAACCUGCCCUUGACUCUGGGAUAACUGCGGGAAACUGUAGCUAAUACCGGAUACGACCCUCGGCGGCAUCGCCAGGGGGUGGAAAGAAUUUCGGUCAAGGAUGGACUCGCGGCCUAUCAGCUAGUUGGUGAGGUAACGGCUCACCAAGGCGACGACGGGUAGCCGGCCUGAGAGGGUGACCGGCCACACUGGGACUGAGACACGGCCCGGACUCCUACGGGAGGCAGCAGUGGGGAAUAUUGCACAAUGGGUGCAAGCCUGAUGCAGCAACGCCGCGUGAGGGAUGACGGCCUUCGGGUUGUAAACCUCUUUCAGCAUCGACGAAGCGAAAGUGACGGUAGGUGCAGAAGAAGGACCGGCCAACUACGUGCCAGCAGCCGCCGUAA